CAGCAGCCACGGGAAAACGUAGGUGGCAAGCGUUGUCCGGAAUUAUUGGGCGUAAAGCGUGCGCAGGCGGUUUGUUAAGACAGAUGUGAAAUCCCCGGGCUCAACCUGGGAACUGCAUUUGUGACUGGCAAGCUAGAGUGUGGCAGAGGGGGGUGGAAUUCCGCGUGUAGCAGUGAAAUGCGUAGAUAUGCGGAGGAACACCGAUGGCGAAGGCAGCCCCCUGGGCCAACACUGACGCUCAUGCACGAAAGCGUGGGGAGCAAACAGGAUUAGAUACCCCAGUAGUCCCUGUCUCUUAUAC
rnacentral:rRNA from 1 species